UCUCUCCUUUAUUGCUGAAGCACAGGUGCCCCAGGUUUCUACUGAGAAAUUUGCUGAUAGCUUUAUGGAAAUUUCCUUAUAUGUGUUUUCCAUGUAACCUCAUUCUUCUGGACAUGGGACAAAAUCCUGGGACUCACCAAACAGCCAGUGUGAAAGAAGCUGUAAAGCUGUAGUCCUCCCGUACUCUGUUGGCAACAGGUGGCUGCCCCACAAGACAGGAAGUGGCGGUGGCUCUUGGCCAGCCCAGGUGCUGCAGGCCUAGUGGGGCAAUGGGAUCGAACAAGCUGGAACAUGCCCCUGUUUGCCAAAGAAAGGCUGUGGAUGGCAGGAACGAACGAACUGCAACAUGAACGAGCUGCAGCCCUUCUGGGGCCCACACCUCGGGACUGCCCUAGCUAGAACUGUAACACGCUGUAACACCCUCUUUGGGGCUCUGGGGUGGCUGGCAUAUCUCAGUUUUUUGGGUUCCACCGCAUUCGCCUCGUUUAGAUGCUGGCGCCUAAAGCAGAAGCUGCUUUGCAGUACACCUGGUUCAGCUACAGCCUUGCACAGAGCUGGUGACUGGAGCAGCCACACCACCACAGCAGUUGGCACAACUGGCUGGGCACCAUGGCUGAACCCUGCACUGAAUCACUCUCACACCCCUCACUGCUCCACGCCAGGGUUGUCUGUGGUGGAUGUGAGAUCUGGGCCAGCGAGCCUGGAGCUGAGCACAGCCUGCUGGUCAGAUUGGGUGGUCAUGAGCGAAACUCUAGCAGAGGCACCCCUGGUCACGGAGGUCUCCAGCUGGUGAAGCACCACCUGAAAGAAUCCUAUGUAAUUUAGACUAAGGCAUUACCAGAAUGGCAUUCUUGAAGAAGUUAAAAAAGGUAGUAUAAUGAAAGCAGCACUGCUUUGUAGCCAAGAGAUUAUCAUUUUAAUCCUUCCUGUAAAAUUUUUUACCCUACCCAUGUUCUUUUACUUCCCCUGUCUCUCACUGACUUAUCCAUGAAAUUAGGGGUUGACAGAAGAUAAUCCCUGUGGUCCCAUACAGCUCUAAUUGUCUAUGAUUCCAUGAAUUUCUGGACUAGGACACUUGUCUGUAACUAUUACAUUGUUUCUCCUUCAAGUAAUGAAAAUAUCUGUAAUUAGAAUCCAUCAUUUUUUAAAUGUUUCUUGUAUAAUUAUAUUCAAUGCUAAAAAUAAAAAUACAUACAUAUAUGAAC
rnacentral:lncRNA from 10 species